GGAGGGAUGCCGGAGCGGUUGAACGGGACGCUCUCGAAAAGCGUUGGGCUCGCAAGGGUCUCGUGAGUUCGAAUCUCACUCCCUCCGCCA
rnacentral:tRNA from 1 species